UAAGUAUGUCGCCUUAUCGCUGUUCAGUUUUGAAUGGAGGAAAGUCCGAACACCAAAGUGCAAUCAUAGUGGUUAACAGCCAUCCACCGAAAGGUGAGGAAAAGUGCAACAGAAAGAAUGUACAGGUUAAGCUGUAGUGAAAUCAGGUAAACUCUAUGUGGUGCAAUGUCAUGUAUACCAGCGUUUGAGUGUGCACGCGCAAUGCUGGAGGGUAGGCAGCUAAAGUUUAUUAGUAAUAAUGAACGCAGAUAAAUGAUAAGGAGUAAUGGUUUUCCAUUAUUACAGAAUUCGGCUUAUAGACAUACUUAAUAA
rnacentral:RNase_P_RNA from 1 species